GACGAACGCUGGCGGCGUGCUUAACACAUGCAAGUCGAACGGAAAGGCCCUGCUUUUGUGGGGUGCUCGGGUGGCGAACGGGUGAGUAACACGUGAGUAACCUGCCCUUGACUUUGGGAUAACUUCAGGAAACUGGGGCUAAUACCGGAUAGGAGCUCCUGCUGCAUGGUGGGGGUUGGAAAGUUUCGGCGGUUGGGGAUGGACUCGCGGCUUAUCAGCUUGUUGGUGGGGUAGUGGCUUACCAAGGCUUUGACGGGUAGCCGGCCUGAGAGGGUGACCGGCCACAUUGGGACUGCGAUACGGCCCAGACUCCUACGGGAGGCAGCAGUGGGGAAUAUUGCACAAUGGGCGGAAGCCUGAUGCAGCAACGCCGCGUGCGGGAUGACGGCCUUCGGGUUGUAAACCGCUUUCGCCUGUGACGAAGCGUGAGUGACGGUAAUGGGUAAAGAAGCACCGGCUAACUACGUG
rnacentral:rRNA from 1 species